UAGUUCAUUCUGUGUUGUGGUUUGAUGUUUGACAUUUCAUAUUACGUUCAUCGUUUGUUGUGCUCGAGAUGGUGAAGAUGAGGUCAGUUAUUCUUAAAAGAAUUUCUAAUUUAAAGUAUGGAGGUGAAUCUUUUUUGUUUGCGAAAAGCUAAAAUGCAAUUCAAUUCAGCAUCAGUUUUGUGGCUCGAAGAGAUUUUGCGGCAUCUGAUUGAUUUUUUUUCAUUCUACCCAAAGCGAGCUGUGUAAAUCUGGAUCUUCAGACAACCUGGGUACCAAGUUGUAUACCUGUUUACAUCUACUGAACAGAGCACCACUACCCAACGAAGCAUCUAGUAACUCGGUCGGAACUACCUAGCUACUACGGCUGUAUCAAAUUUGAGCACCAUGUCAUCGAUUUAAUGUAAUAAAACACUUUUCUUCAGAUAGUUGAAUACUUUUUGAUUUAAAUAAACCUUAUGAGAUUUGAAA